rnacentral:rRNA from 1 species
AGUGAACGCUGGCGGCGUGCUUAACACAUGCAAGUCGAACGAGCAAGGGAUAUAGCUUGCUAUAUUUGUCAGCUAAGUGGCGCACGGGUGAGUAAUGUCUAGAUAACCUGCCGUAUAGACAGGAAUAACAGUUGGAAACGACUGCAAGUGCCCAUCUGCGUUUAAUACAUAAGUAUGCAGGGGAACCGCUUUAGUGCUAGAGGAUGGGUAUGUAUGGUAUCAGCUUGUUGGUGGGGUAAUGGCUCACCAAGGCUAUGAAGCCUAACUGGUUUGAGAGGAUGAUCAGUCACACUGGAACUGAGACACGGUCCAGACUCCUACGGGAGGCAGCAGUGGGGAAUAUUGCACAAUGGACGAAAGUCUGAUGCAGCAACGCCGCGUGGAGGAUGAAACAUUUCGGGGCGUAAACUCCUUUUAUAUAGGAAGAUAAUGACGGUACUAUAUGAAUAAGCACCGGCUAACUCCGUGCCAGCCGCCGCCGUAA